rnacentral:lncRNA from 1 species
UAUCAUUUACUUCCGGGAUCAAAGUUAGAUAUGUUAAGGAAAAAGGCACGACGAAUUGUGUAAUUUUACAUAGCGGCUAGACUGCUUAAUUAAAUAUAUAUGCUGAAAUAUAAUUAUCUACGGUCAGAGUCAGUUAGAUUGGGAGUUAGAGAGAAAGAUGGGUUAAAAAUGCUAGAUUGAAAAGGUCACCUUUACUUAAUAAUAUCUAGCUAAAAUGUUAUGUUUAAAUAUUAAAGACUGUUGCUAUGAUAAAUAAAACUGGUUAAAAGGUUAUGUUUGUUGUAUUGAAUGGCCACGCUACGUUACAAUAUUACUUCCUUAUUUUACUCAUUCAUAAACUAGCGUAAAUAUUUACCACAGAUUUCAAACAGACUAUUGGGUAAAAAACACUCAACCGAUAAAAAUCAAUUGGUUUUCUAUACAGUAAAAAAAGAUAUACCGAUAUCGCUUUUGUGUUAUAAUAAUAGCAGUACAUGACAUUUUCUGAAAAUGAUAAUGAAUUCAGUUUUAUAAAUAACUGACACAUUUUUGGAAAACUGUAAUACUGGUUUUCUGUUUACUAAUACUAGAACAUUCGUUGUGUUAAGUCACGUAAAACUUUGUAGCAGUUUAGUAUUUGGCGUAAAUGAAUAAGGAUAUAAAGAUUAAAAAUGAGUUUUGAAGAGUUCUUUAAAGAUAUUGAUUGUCUUACUGUGGCUUUGAGAGAGAAAUACCCUAACGACCCUGAUGUGCAGAAAUGGAAUGAAAUAUACUGCAAAAGAUACUAUGAUCUUCUCAUUCAACAUAUUUGGAAUCCAGACGAAUUUCAAAUACUUCAAGAAGAGAACACUAGAUUAAAACAAUAAUUACAGACUUUAAAACAAAGUACUUCUAAAACAAUGACGUCGUCCAUAUCAAAACAAACGAAAUAUGAUAAAAUUAGAAAAAAUAUUCAACAAUCAUAUUCAGAAGAAAGAAGGUUAACUUGCGACUGUGAUUACUCUGGAGAACCAACGAUUGAUUUAUGUAUUAAAGCUUUGGGAACGUAUGACAAAUUGAUCAGCUCGGAUAAACGGAAUGUAGUUUUAAAUUCUGCGAACAAAGGACAUGUUUUAAAAGAUUUAAAAAAACUAUCAAGAAAGGAAAAGAAAGGAUUUAUGGAUAUACUAAAAAAUCAUGGUUUCGUUUAUUCAUUAUCACAUUGCAAUUUUUUAAUACGUUUAUAUGAUUUUGCAAUGACUCAUAAUAAAAUAUUACAUUGUGCUUUAUCUAUUGAGUAUAUUUGUCAAAAUUUUACAAUCAUUAAGAAAAUCUUUCAAGAAUUGACUUGGUGAAUACAAAUAAGUCACUCAACCGUAGGAUUAUAUUAUAAUCACAUGCACGAAUGAACAUCAUAAUAUUACGUUUUCUUGAAAUCAUUCAACCGUAGGAUUAUAUUAUAAUCACAUGCACGAAUGAACAUCA